AGGUGACGGCGAUGUACCGCAGUAAGUAAAUCGCCCUGCUUCAAGGGAUAGUGAUCGGCGGCAAACAAAUAUUAUAAUUUAAUUCAUCCGUUACUCGUUUAGUUUAGAACUUAGUAUAAUCGCAGUUUCUCAUUGUGUUAAUAUUAUGUUGAAGGUAUAAAAUUUAUAGCGGAAAAAACGCAGAUUUCACAAACGAUGUCUUCUACCCUGUAAUUAUUAGUGGUAUCAGGAAUAGAGGGUCGGCUGUGACGGAGUCUUGCUGCUUGCCGCUGGAGGUCACACAAUCUGUGAUGGGACCAAGAGGUGUUCAUACCUCGGAGGUCUUCGACAGCUUCAGCUAUCUGUGGUAAAAAAUAAAUUCAUUGGGUGUGGCUGCAGGCGGUUGCAACUGCAACAUCACGUCAAUGCAUAUGGAUUUUUACGGUCGCGCGUCAUAAAUUGUCGCAUGCGCUCAGAUCAUAAUGAAAACCAAAGCGAUCGAGUAUGUACACAGGCAAGAAACGUGAACAAUAAAUUUAUUAAGAGAGGGAUCGAGUGAUAUCUUCAUUCUAAACUGGUAUUUAACCAACUCUCUGUCAUGGCCGAAUUAAGGAGAUCGACGAGGGUUUGAACCAAUACAAUAUCUAUCCAUAUGUGUUUCCAUUUUCAUUUCCAUCUGUGUUGCUUGACCCUACCUCUCUUUUCUGUUCCUCUUCCGCUUCAAUGGCCCGUUGGUGCAGAAGUUCCAUGUCGAGUUUACGGACCUCUUCUGCUUCUCUAGCUUGGCAUUCCUUUUCCUGAAAAAAAAUACAAAUUAAAUGUAAAAACAUAUUUGUAAUACCUACCUAUUUAAUGAUUUUUGAACAAGGAAUGCCAGGAUACCAGAAAAUUUAUUUUACGUGAUCUUAACGAAAUUAAAACUAUAAUUCAUUUUGCAACUAAUAAUUCUGUUUUAUAGGAUUUCACUUGACUUUCAAUAGUAAUUUAAGGCUUGCAGAUUUGUAUAUAAAAUGUAAAUAGAUGCUAUAUAAAUGUGA